rnacentral:rRNA from 1 species
CAAAGGCUUCGGCCGGUAAAGGAUGGGGAUGCGUCUGAUUAGCUUGCCGGCGGGGUAACGGCCCACCGGGGCGACGAUCAGUAGGGGUUCUGAGAGGAAGGUCCCCCACAUUGGAACUGAGACACGGUCCAAACUCCUACGGGAGGCAGCAGUGAGGAAUAUUGGUCAAUGGGCGCGAGCCUGAACCAGCCAAGUAGCGUGCAGGACGACGGCCCUAUGGGUUGUAAACUGCUUUUAUACGGGGAUAAAGUAUGCCACGUGUGGUUUAUUGCAGGUACCGUAUGAAUAAGGACCGGCUAAUUCCGUGCCAGCAGCCGCGGUAAUACGGAAGGUCCGGGCGUUAUCCGGAUUUAUUGGGUUUAAAGGGAGCGUAGGCCGGGUUUUAAGCGUGCCGUGAAAUGUCGGGGCUCAACCUUGACACUGCGGCGCGAACUGGAGUCCUUGAGUGCGCGGAACGUAUGCGGAAUUCGUGGUGUAACGGUGAAAUGCUUAGAUAUCACGAAGAACCCCGAUUGCGAAGGCAGCAUACGGCAGCGCUACUGACGCUGAAGCUCGAAGGCGCGGGUAUCGAACAGGAUUAGAUACCCUGGUAGUCCGCGCGGUAAACGAUGGAUGCCCGCUGUUGGCGAUAUAUUGUCA